rnacentral:rRNA from 1 species
GAGUAAUGUCUGGGAAACUGCCUGAUGGAGGGGGAGUAACUACUGGAAACGGUAGCUAAUACCGCAUAACGUCGCAAGACCAAAGAGGGGGACCUUCGGGCCUCUUGCCAUCAGAUGUGCCCAGAUGGGAUUAGCUAGUAGGUGGGGUAACGGCUCACCUAGGCGACGAUCCCUAGCUGGUCUGAGAGGAUGACCAGCCACACUGGAACUGAGACACGGUCCAGACUCCUACGGGAGGCAGCAUG